rnacentral:rRNA from 1 species
AUACGUAGGUGGCAAGCGUUGUCCGGAUUUAUUGGGUUUAAAGGGUGCGUAGGUGGUUUUAUAAGUCAGCGGUGAAAGUUUGCAGCUUAACUGUAAAAAUGCCGUUGAAACUGUAAGACUUGAGUGUAAAUGAGGUAGGCGGAAUGCGUGGUGUAGCGGUGAAAUGCAUAGAUAUCACGCAGAACUCCGAUUGCGAAGGCAGCUUACUAAGCUACAACUGACACUGAAGCACGAAAGCGUGGGGAUCAAACAGGAUUAGAUACCCUGGUAGUCCACGCAGUAAACGAUGAUUACUAGCUGUUUGCGAUACACAGUAAGCGGCACAGCGAAAGCGUUAAGUAAUCCACCUGGGGAGUACGCCGGCAACGGUGAA